UACAGAGGGUGCGAGCGUUGUUCGGAAUUACUGGGCGUAAAGGGCGCGUAGGCGGCCAACUAAGUCGGACGUGAAAUCCCCUGGCUCAACCAGGGAACUGCGUCCGAUACUGAUUGGCUAGAAUCCGGGAGAGGGAUGUGGAAUUCCAGGUGUAGCGGUGAAAUGCGUAGAUAUCUGGAGGAACACCGGUGGCGAAGGCGGCAUCCUGGACCGGUAUUGACGCUGAGGCGCGAAAGCCAGGGGAGCAAACGGG
rnacentral:rRNA from 1 species